UACGUAGGGUGCAAGCGUUAAUCGGAAUUACUGGGCGUAAAGCGUGCGCAGGCGGUUAUGCAAGACAGAUGUGAAAUCCCCAGGCUCAACCUGGGAACUGCGUCUGAUACUGGUUGGCUUGAAUCCGGGAGAGGGAUGCAGAAUUCCAGGUGUAGCGGUGAAAUGCGUAGAUAUCUGGAGGAAUACCGGUGGCGAAGGCGGCAUCCUGGACCGGCAUUGACGCUGAGGAGCGAAAGCCAGGGGAGCAAACGGG
rnacentral:rRNA from 1 species